rnacentral:rRNA from 1 species
UACGAAGGGUGCAAACGUUGCUCGGAAUCAUUGGGCGUAAAGCGCACGUAGGCGGCCUUGUAAGUCGGAUGUGAAAUCCCACGGCUUAACCGUGGAAGUGCAUCCGAAACUGCGAGGCUCGAGUAUGGAAGGGGGUCGCAGAAUUCCCGGUGUAGAGGUGAAAUUCGUAGAUAUCGGGAGGAAUACCAGUGGCGAAGGCGGCGACCUGGGCCAAUACUGACGCUGAGGUGCGAAAGCGUGGGGAGCAAACAGG